CGCGUAGGUGGUAGUGCAAGUCUGGGGUGGAAUCCUAUGGCUUAACCAUAGAAUUGCCCUGGAAACUGUAUUACUUGAGUCAGUGAGGGGAGGGUAGAAUUCCUGGUGUAGCGGUGAAAUGCGUAGAUAUCAGGAGGAAGGCCUGUGGCGAAGGCGGCCCUCUGGCGCUGAACUGACACUGAGGCGCGAAAGCGUGGGGAGCAAACAGGAUUAGAUACCCUGGUAGUCCACGCCCUAAACGGUGGGCACUAGGUGUAGGGCUCGUAAGGGUUCUGUGCCGAAGCGAAAGCAUUAAGUGCCCCGCCUGGGGAGUACGGCCGCAAGGUUGAA
rnacentral:rRNA from 1 species